rnacentral:tRNA from 1 species
GGCCACGAUGGCGAGGCCGGCGCACAGGUGCUUGAGGCGUCUCAUGGGCCGAUCGUGGCGGCCCGGCGCCG